GAGGGUAUAGCUCAGGGUAGAAUGCAAACAUACCUACCGUGCAUGAGGUCCUGGGUUCAAUCCCCAGUACCUCCA
rnacentral:tRNA from 1 species